rnacentral:rRNA from 1 species
CGAGUUUGAUCCUGGCUCAGAUUGAACGCUGGCGGAAUGCUUUACACAUGCAAGUCGAGCGGCAGCGCGGGGCAACCUGGCGGCGAGCGGCGAACGGGUGAGUAAUACAUCGGAACGUGCCCAGACGUGGGGGAUAACUACUCGAAAGAGUGGCUAAUACCGCAUACGAUCUGAGGAUGAAAGCGGGGGAUCGCAAGACCUCGCGCGUCUGGAGCGGCCGAUGGCAGAUUAGGUAGUUGGUGAGGUAAAGGCUUACCAAGCCUGCGAUCUGUAGCUGGUCUGAGAGGAUGAUCAGCCACACUGGGACUGAGACACGGCCCAGACUCCUACGGGAGGCAGCAGUGGGGAAUUUUGGACAAUGGGCGAAAGCCUGAUCCAGCCAUUCCGCGUGCAGGAUGAAGGCCCUCGGGUUGUAAAGCCCUUUCGGCGGGGACGAUGAUGACGGUACCCGCAGAAGAAGCCCCGGCUAACUUCGUG